rnacentral:lncRNA from 1 species
AGAGUUAUAAGCAAAUUAGACUCCUAAGAGCUCGAGCAUUUCUUUAAUCCUGGCUAGGCCGAAGCUUAUCCUCUUGCAAAAUCUGCCUUAGCUCCCAAAUAGAAAUAUAUAUGAAGGAUAAUAUUUAUAUAUUGAGAGACAUAAUACGUAUUUGAACACAGGGGUGGAGAAAAAAAUUACACCCAUUAGGUUUUGUUCAUUAAUCAACUAAGUCCUGAUAUAAUCGCUAGCUAAGUGACAAAAAAAAAAGUGAAGGAUGGAAGAAGCUGAAGAGAAAACAGAGUGGGAGACGUAUCAUGGAAGGAGAAAGUAUGAAGCUGACUAGAUCAAAAGAACGUGAGGAGGAGAAGUUUUGAUCUAUCGAGGAAAGAAGAUUAAGUCUAGUAUCGGUGUUUGUAGACGAUCUCGAUCAGGCAAUGGAAAGAAAUCAUCUUGCAAGGUCUUCCACAAAGUUUGAAGAGGUGAAGGAUACUUUUAUUUUCCAGAGAGUGUAGAUAGAGCGACAUAGAUAAAAUGCAGAGGGGUUCCUUUCCAUGCUUGGUAGGAGAGAUUCUUCAAGAAAUUAGGUAAUAGGUUUGGGAGGCAUGUGAAGUUGGAUGAAAACACAUAUGCAGAAAUAGCUUAUGAAGAGAUAAGAAUCUCCUUCGAAUUACCAGCAGCUCAUUAUACAGUUCCAAUAGUCCUGGUAGUUAAAGUAUAUGGAGAUGUCUUCUGGAUUGAAUUGGAGGAGGAGAAACAAUCAACGAACAGCCGGGAAGAUCAUGGAAGAGAGAUGGAUAGGUAUAUAUGCAACUCAUGGGGAAUAUACCAUAAUGAUUGGUUGGAAAAUCGACAAGAACAAAGAAGGAAAGUGGUAUUCAAAUGUUCAGAAAAUGAACUCCAUAAAGUGGAAAUGUGACGGGGACUAGUCACAAGUUUCUACUUGUGUGCAAACCGCAGGCUUGGGAGAAGGAAGAAGCUGAGAAGACACAUUGUAAAAGGAAAACAAGAUGUUACUACUUUGAAGGUACUUUUACCUUUUAUCAUGCUAAUAAACUCAAGAUGUUCAAGAACGAGAUGAGGAAUUGACAGGAACAAAAAGAUCUUAAUGAAGAGACUGAUGAAACUAUUAGAGCGUGACAGAACAAUCCAAAUAUGUCGUAGGAUAGCAGGGAUAUUUGAAACAAGAAGUUGUAAAAUACGGCACUUCCUCCGUGCCCAAGAAAGCAUUUGAGAUGAUAAUUCGAGGAUUAGAUGGUUGAAAGAGGGCUGAAGAUGUCUUUCUUUAAUACAAGAUAUGGAAUGCGGUGUAUGAUUAUGAUGGUAUUAGAUCACUUGGUUCGUAUGGUUUCUACUUUAUCUUUUUGAGAAAUCACUACGAUAUAAUUAAAGAUAAUUUUCAAAAAUUUAUGUAGGAUUUCCAUAUAAGCUGUAAAUCUGUUCGUUUCAUUAAUAUUACUUUCAUCUCCUUAUUCCCGAGUUCUCGAAUCAUUAGUGAAUUUUUUGAAACAUCAAGCGGUGCGUGAAGAAAAGAAUGGUAUCCUUAGCAAAUAAUAAUGAACUGAAAAACACCUGAACAAACUGUUGACUUCAUUAAUUUAUAAAAUAUGAUAAGCUUACUUAACAUGAAGCAAUGACAAGCUGAAACUAAGGAAGUCUAGCUUUGAAUUAAAAGGUUCUUCAGAACAAUGAGUUAAUUAUAGGAAAAAAUGAAUCAAAACGUUUUAUGUGAUUCCUUUUAGUUUGACCAUUCCGGUUAGGAGAAGUUGAUUGUGAAUAUGUCCUUUCAGAACUUUCUUUAUUACGACUCCUUAUUUCUGGAGACGACAUAGUAUGUAUAGAAUUGAUCGACAUGUCUGUGUCUGAUUCACUUUGAUAUGACGUACCGUCUUUGGCUGAUAUCUUCUUUUUGCUGUUGUUUUCCGAGAGUAGCGAUGUGUUGGUUGAGGACGUGUUCCACGAUGGAAUUUAGAUCUUGUGUGUAGUGGAAUCUGGACGUCGGGUGCGGUACUGUGCAACGAAGGGGUCGACUCAAUUUCAAGUGAUUG